rnacentral:pre_miRNA from 1 species
UAAUCUGACUGAGUUAGAUUUUCAUUUAGAAAUAUCAAAUUUUUAUCUAAAUACUCAAAAUCUUUAAUUUUUACAGGCUAGAUUAUAUCAUCUUGAAUAUAAACUAUAAAGACAUGUUAGGGUA